CAGGUUGGGUGACGUCACCACGCAGGAUGGGUGACGUUCCCACGCAGGUUGGGUGACGUCACCACGCAGGAUGGGUGACGUUCCCACGCAGGUUGGGUGACGUUACCACGCAGGGGGUGGGGUGACGUCGGCACGCAGGGUGGGUUGACGUCGGCACGCAGGACGGGGGGUGUGGUUCACAUUCCCACGCAGGGUGGGUGACGUCACCACGCAGGGGUGGGUGACGUCAGCACGCAUGGGUCGGCCAAGGCGGAAGUUGCAUUGCUUUCCCUGAGCAAGAUGGCUGCCGAGUGAUGUCGGUCUCUGUGCGAGAGGUGCCGCGUUCUCCCUGUCCCGGUGUGCGUGACGUCAUUUAUGGACGGCCCCUAUCCUGGGUUCCCCGCCUUUAAACCCGUACUGAGCGGUGUGCUGAGAUAUGGCCACUUCCUGUGGCGAACACCGGGUGUGUACAUUUCUAAGCCACAGUUUUAUACGAAUGUCGCCCAUAAUAAAAUGCGAUGUCAUGUACAGAAAGCAAAAUUGCGUGUUGUAACUUGUAAGAUAAGAAGAGCAGAUAGAAGACCUUGAGAUUCGCAGGGGAUAACGCUGCUCAAGGCAUUCAUCAGUUUGCCGGAUUCUCGGCUACAUUCCGCUAGGGGGCACAGCAACACACACACUGAAUUGCACGCCCAAUGCCUGUGGAUGGGGCUUUAACACUUUCAUGUCAGCAUCAUCAAGAUUCAUUGCUACGACUGUAAACAUUCACCAAUGCUAUUCAUAACCUACAUAGUAUUAAUGUACGGCGUUUGUUCGACCAAUCUAUUUUCACAUACUUUACAGAUAUAUUGCAUUUACAAUAUCAAGACGUUGUCAUGGCCAAAACCGUUGAUAACAACCGCACAUCCAAUGCGUUCUGCCUUCUCCUAUAUCUCACAUCUGCUGCACAGUAGACACGCGACCUUCAAGAUUUGCCGUCACAGUAUCCCACCAGUUGCUCUGAAGUGUUCCUCUUGAUUGCUAGACUCGUGUAGACUAUUCCAACAUCUGCCUCGUUAACACUGCUUUCCUCAAUCCUGUACAGCUAUCCUACCCAGCAGAAUGUGUUUGCCAAUAUCAUGCCUACAACACUUACCCUCCAUGUUCUCUUCCGAACUUUCGCGUUGCUUAUCAUAUCUUGCCAUGAAAUUCCAAGCAUCCAUCUCAGACACCAAUGCUCAAAUGCCAAAACUUAAAUGUCAAACACCUCGGUGUUCAGCUCCAUGAUCAAUGUUAUCUUAUUUUAACUUAAUUUGAAGUAAAACAGAUAUAUAUAUACAGUACCGUAGUGUUUCCAAGUUUAUUUGUACGCAAUUCACACAUCGGGUAAGUUUGCCACUUUGAAACUGUGUGAAUUAACAAUUACUGUUAUUACCGUAAAAUACCAUCUUCAUUCAACACAUAAAAUUAUAUCGCUUUUCAUUGAGCACCUUUGAAAUUUACGCAACCAUUUCGUGGUAAAUAUUUGUGGUAAGAUGAGACUUGGAGGAUUUUGAAAUCUCAAUAAAUCCUAAAUGUUUGCUCUGAUGAAUCACAGCCAAGCACAGCAACAGCCCAACAUGACGUGUCCACAUAGUUUGUGCUUGGGUUACACACACAUUGAGCAUUACGUCUGUAAGGAUUGAAACGUCCCCCUUGAGUUUAGAUGAAUUGUCAUGAUUUGGGGGUUAUGAUUGUGUCUAAAAAUAAAAUAUUUUAUCGCGAUGCAUUUCAGCUCUGCUAGUGGCUUCACAGGUCACGUCAAGUAUUUGCAUAAAACAUACGAAGACUUUUUUUUUACAAUUCUCAACACAAUUCUAUGCAUGCAUUGUAAGCAGAAUCGAAUUAAUCUCAUGUAUUUCGAACUUCUUUUGCACCGUACGUAGCUAUCCGUGCUCAUACCCUUAUUAAGCAUUGUACUGUACAUUCAUACAUUGCACAUAUCAGUAUCACGUGCAUGCACACACUGAACACAUUAAAAAAAGACAAUGGACCAUGAGCCCAGGCCAAAUAUUCUACUGUUUUGGUACCACCCGAUCUGGCAACACUUGAGUUGUACCAACAACAGCAUCAUUACAUUGCCAAUUGAAGUGAAAUGAUGCAAUUAUUUCAUUGAACAAUAAUUACAUAAUUCACUUGUAUUAGUCAUAUACAGAAACUGGUUUCACAAUAUUUUGCCACUACCCAUGGUACCAAAUAAAGAUCUGGCCCAUGGACUUAUUUUUAUUUUGCGCUGGUAAGAUCGCCAGGGCACGUCCAGUUUAGUGUGCACAUAUGCAGGAUAAAAUAACACGUGUUGCGGUGUGGUUUGCCUCUGCUAGUCAAUAUGUAUAUUACGCCACAGGAGUACUGUACUAUACAGUAGUUUAGAUUGGAAAAACUCAACACAUUCGUCACUCACAUCGGCCUUUGUGUCUCGAGAAACAAUUCUUUUUGCGCCUUACGAGGUCAGCUGUAGGUUUCGCAGCGCCUAGAAUGACUUAGUAGGCCAAUCCUUGAGUGACAAUCCUUGCCACAGCAAUUGCAAGUGAGUGCGGUGGCAGCUCCAGAGGUGUUUGUUGCUUUUUCUUUACGUCGCUCCCUCUUGGUCUGCCAAGCGGUGCGUCUUUUCUCCUCGCCUCUCCUGAGGCCUGUUUUCACAGCCUGCUGCCAGCCGAGUCGGUCGCCGGCAGUUUUCUCCCAGUCAUUGGGGUUGAUGUCGCAGCUCUUCGUGUCCCGUUCACAGACAUCUUUGAAGCGCAGGACCGGGCGACCAGUGACCCGUGUGCCUGAUGCCAGCUCGCCGUACAAGACAUCCUUGGGUAUUCUGCCAUCCUUCAUGUGGCGCACAUGUCCAAGCCAUCUCAGGCGCCUAUGAGUUUUGCAGCCCACUUGUCUGGUGAUGAACCAUAAGCUCCAAGCACACAUUGGAGCAGGACCAUCCCUAUUGACUCGGAGAGGGGGUUCUGGCAGAUUUACUGGCCGGAAGCCGGCUGACCGGCCGCAACCUCGGGAUACUGUCCGGAACGCACAGGGGCGAUGGGCGGUCCCGCCGGCGGAUGGUCGCUGUGACAGGGAUGGGCGUGCGUCGAGGACCGGACGCAGCCCUGAAUUAACAGGGGAGCAUUCCCCGCGCUUGCCCCACAGUGUCCCGUUCAGGGGAAAUGGGCCGGCAGCUGGAACUCGCUCUCAAGGAAGAACCUUCCGUUGACUCUACAUCUCUUAUGGUUGUUGUACAAAGUUCUGUGAUGCAUUGUUGUUAUUGUUAUGUCCUUGUUGUGCUCCACUACCCGGAAGUCGAAGUAUGGUCGUAGCCGGGACGGCUAGAUUUUUUCAU